GCCUGAGUGGCCGAGCGGUUCUAGGCGCUCCAGUCUGGAAUGCUGAGGUCGCAGGUUCGAAUCCUGCCUCGGGCA